rnacentral:rRNA from 1 species
UACGUAGGGGGCAAGGCGUUGUCCGGAUUUAUUGGGUCGUAAAGAGCGUGUAGGCGGCCUGAAAGGUCAGCUGUGAAAACUCGAGGCUUAACCUCGAGACGUCGGUUGAAACCAUCUGGCUAGAGUCCGGAAGAGGAGUGUGGAAUUCCCGGUGUAGCGGUGAAAUGCGCAGAUAUCGGGAAGAACACCCGUGGCGAAGGCGGCACUCUGGGACGGUACUGACGCUGAGACGCGAAAGCGUGGGGAGCGAACAGG